AUGCCAGCCAUCCAUCAUUACUUUUUUCUUGAUCUUUGACCUUUCCCCGUGACAUUUUCUUCCUUGAAACCAGCCGAUUUUUCUCUCUCUUGGAUAAGUCCUAUCUCUGCUGGUUUCCGAUUGUUUUAGCAGGAAGAAACGAGUUCGUCCAUGUGGCUGUGUUGAUUAAUAUUUGGUUAAUACCGGGGAUUUGGGUUCAGUUUGUUGGUCUCAUGUGUUUCCCUUUUUUCAAGACUUUCUGCCGACAUUGAUUUGUGACUUGCGUUUGGCUGACGCGGCCCACCCCCAUCUGCGUCGUGCUCGCCUCCCUGACGGUAGCCGUCAUCGUCUCCGAUCUGACGGUAGACGGCAUCAUCCCAUGGUAGUAGCAACACCUGACCCCGCACGAUGCUGAUGGUUGGAGCAUCAGGAAUGGAGUCGGGGGCACUGGAGCUCGCGGCAUCGCCUGAAAUAAGUUGCAUCUCCUUCAAAUUAAUCUUGUAGUUUUUUUCCCGUUCUUUCUUGCAGUUUUUUUGCGAUCUGCAUUUAGAUUUUUUCCUCUGAUCUUUGUUAGAUUGUGGAAUGGCAUACAAAUCAACAAAUAGUUUUGACGUUGGAUUUGCUUGCUGCCACCUCAGAUGGAUUAGUUGAUUUCCUUUUGACGAUUUGGUGCAGAUCGGGAUUCUUCAGCACUUGCCCCUUGUUACCGGCGGUUGAUCUAUGUUCUUCCAUGACCAUUACAGAAACCGUAACAUAAUGUAUUUGAGCACCACUUGUGAUCUAGAGUAGGCUCAAAAUGAUAUCAAAUGGGCACCGUCUCAUUUUUCUGAACACCGUUUUCGUUAAGUUUUUUUUACAGAAAACAUGGGGAGUUGAUUCUUUAUUGGUUCUGAUUUUCUUGGUUGCUAGUAAAACACCAAAAUCACGAGUCGCUCCUGGGUAUUACAAGAUAAUUAACAGACUGCUUUCUUGGACGCACCAGGACAUGUUUUUCACUAGCACAACUCCAUGUGCACUUAUUUCUCUUGCAUUUUUCUUCCCACAUGAGUUUGUACUGGUGGAACAUGAAUGUCCACGAUUUGGUUCUCCAUGGUUUUAAUGGUGUUUAGGUUACAGACUCCAUGAAUUGUGCGUUUCAAUUUUUGUUCAGAUUGGUAAAACGGUUACAUGAAGCUAUAAUUUUUCAAAUUCUUUUUGUUGCAGGGUUCACAAUUUUCAGAUUGGAAACAGUCCAAUAAUUUGUGAUUUCCAUCUAAAGUUUCGUGGUCUGGGCUUCAUUUAGCCAGAGGCGGACGCGAGAAAAGGGCACGGCCGUUCCACGGAAUUGGGUCAAUCUCGAUUAUUUUCGAUCCGGAUUUUGCUUCAGCUCCUUUUCUUUCAAUCUGGAUUUUGCUUGACCGUUCCAGCUCCCUCUUUGUACAUGGUGUGUUUCUGAUUUGUACUCAGUAGAUCCCAUGUUUAUAUUCAAAUAAAUUGUAAACUUUAUGAGGGAAAAGUGGUGUUAAUUAAUGUAAUGUUUUAUCCA